rnacentral:rRNA from 1 species
AGGACGAACGCUGGCGGCGUGCUUAACACAUGCAAGUCAAGGGGGCUCAGCAAUGGGGCAACCGGCGAACGGGUGCGUAACACGUGAGCAAAGCUACCGAUUUGUGGGGGAUAGCCGGCCCAACGGCCGGGUAAUACCGCAUACGUUCACUGGACGGCAUCGUCUGGGUGAGGAAACCUCAGGGGCAAAUCGAGGCGCUCGCGGCCUAUCAGCUAGUUGGCGGGGUAACGGCCCACCAAGGCCUUUGACGGGUAGC